GUCCAGGGGCGGGAACCCCUGCUAGUGGACAUGGCACCUGCCCGGUAAGCAGAAGGUUGUGGGUUCGAUUCCCGCCCCUGGACA